CAGCCUUGUGGCUGAAGGGCUGGGACUGGCCAUGAGAUUACAUGUCCUAGCAUGCUCAGCCAGGCGCGCGCAGCUCUGCCCCUUCCCCCAGUGAUGCGCACAGUCCCUGAUCCCUGUGCACCCUGGGAUUGUAGUCUUGCAGCCCUGCGAUAACUCGCCGGUAACAAGAAAUUUCAGCUCCCGGCAUGGUGGGCGAAGGCCCCAACCUUCAGCCUCGCUCCUCCAUGCCUCCAGAGCAGUUCCGCCAUGCAGAGGGGGAGCCUGCCUGUUCUUUAACCUCUCCUACCUGAUGGGAGAGGACAAGCUACCAGGGCAGCUUGUCUCACCAAGUAAUUGUGAUACCGCAUCCCCCAACGUGCUGGCUUCCUGACUUCCAAAAUUGCGGGCAGUUCCCCUGCACAUGCUCUCUUGCCUGCCACCGUGUAAGACAUGACUUCGCUCAUCCUUGCCUUCCUCCAUGAUUGUGAACCCCGCCCUGACCUACAGCCAUGUGGAAUUGCAAGGUAAGAAGAGCUACAGAGGAAGAACCUACUGCAGACGUUUCCCAGGAGACUUUAAUUGAAGCAUCAGCAAAACUGAAAGGUAACGAGAGAAUCUUGUCCCUCUGAGGGUGUCUUUCCCAUGGAUCCCUGCUCAGUUGCCUUUCACGGGCCCCCUGAUUUGCCUGAACUCCUGACCUCAGAUGAUCUGCCUGCCUCGGCCCUCCAAAGUGCUGGAAUUACAGGCAUGAGCCACUGUGCCUGGCCUGUUCCAUGCAUUAAAAAAAAAAAAAAAAAAAAAAAAAAAAAAAAAAAAAAAAAGUGAGAACAAGAAGAAAUGUAAAUGCUAGGCUUUUCAUAUAAAUCCAGGGAAUUAUGGGACAGUUAGUACCCACCUCCCAGGGUGUUAUGAGGAUAAAUUCAUAUUAUGUCAUCUUCCCAGCACAGUGCUCUGUAGCGUGCUUCUGAGCACACAGAGCAUGCUCCAUAAACAUCACAUUAAUGCAUGUAUGCAUGUUGUUUUCCAAAUGCAGACUUACUCAGACAUGAGCUGCCUUCUCCAGCCUCUGUAAAGUUUAAAGGAGCAGCAGAGUAUGCCAUGUUUUAGGAUAGUGAUUGGUGGUUUUUAUUUUGGACCAAAAGCAUUUAUGUUGUGAGAAGAGUAUGGGUUUAAGGAACUGUGUGCUGUGGCGCUUUGUCUAGUUGAGUGCUGCUAUAAGUGAUCUAGGGCAAGUAGGGUCAGCAUUAGCUGUGAAUGAAGCCAAUCCAUGGAUCCCUUUCAAACCUGCAGAAUUGGCCAGGCAUGGUGGCUCAUGCCUGUAAUCCCAGCACUGUGGGAGGACGAGGCGGGCGGAUCACUUGAGGUCAGGAGGUCGAGACCAGCCUGACCAACAUGGAGAAACCCCGUCUCUACUAAAAAAUACAAAAUUAGCUGGGUGUGGUGGCACAUGCCUGUAAUACCAGCUACUCGGGAGGCUGAGGCAGGAGAAUUGCUUGAACCUGGGAGGUGGAGCUUGCGGUGAGCUGAGAUCGCAUGCCAUUGCACUCCAGCUUGGGCAAGAAGAGCGAAACUCCAUCUCAAAAAAAGAAAAAAGGGAAAAAAAACAUUAAAUGCAGCAAGAUGCAGGUCAGAGCAUACCUCCAUUUGUGUACUCUUGUGGACAAAAUUUAAAUGGCAAAUAAGAUUUUGCAUUUAUUGACUUUUUCUUUACAUUGCUGUAAGUACAAAUACCCAUUUAUCCUUUGACCUCCUAUAUCUUUAUUCUGUAUGCAUAUGAAAAAAAUGCUAGAUCUGUAUCUAGAUUAUACAUGGGUAAACACAACAUAUAGAAUUUUAUGACUUUGCCUAUGUAGAUAUUUAUGUAUACAAUAGAUAUUAAUCAACAUUUUAAAUUCCCCAGCCUACACUGAGGAUGCAGAUAUAAACUUACUCUCACCUAUAUGGAUCCAUACCAUCUCAGACUGGAACACAGCCAUACAAUGUUAUGUUUAAACAUCAAUAAAGCUUCACAUACAGGUGCAUGGCCUGGGAAGUAUGUUUUUGGUAAAGCCAUGCUAGACUCUAGUUCCAGCUUAGCAUUUCAGGGCCCUGCUUCCUUUCUCACUGUAUGCCUGUGUGAUUCACAUUUGCCAUUUGGGUCGAUUGACUUGUAUCCAUCUAAGCUGAUCUAAGUGGCUUAUUAAACUCAUCUGGGCUGCAGAAGUUGAGAAGGAAAGCGACCUCUGACCUACUUAUUCUGCGGCUUCUCUACAGGACAUAUGCAAUAAUGGGAAUUACAUUGACAUACCUAUGUUACCCAUUUUCUAUUUUUUUGUUUGAGAUGGAGUUUCACUCUUGUUGGCCAGGCUGGAGUGCAAUGGUGCAAUCUCAGCUCACUGCAACCUCUGCCUCCUGGGUACAAGCGAUUCUCCUACCUCGGCCUCCUGAGUAGCUGGGAUUACAGGCACCUGCCACUACAGCUGGCCAGGCUGGUCUCAAACUCCUGACCACAGGUGAUCCACCCACCUCGGCCUCCCAAAGUGCUGGGAUUACAGGAGUGAGCCACCGCCUGGCCUUUCUGUGUAUGUUUAUCUAGCCACCGAUAUCAUAUCUAUAUGUAUAAAAAAGACCACCAGAGGUCAGAGGUGAUUUUUAUUUUCCAUUCAGGCCAAGUAAAUCCAAUCAGCCAUUAGCUCAGUGAAGAUUUAUCAAAUCCAAGCCACACACCAAAUCACGUUAUGCUAAAUAUGAAAAUAUCCUCAUUACUGGGCACCAAGGUGUUUUAAAUUCAGUCUAAUCAAAACAGCUCAUGGGGUUCUGUCCAUCCAGCUAGGACGCUUCAGACAUACCAGUGGGCCUAACUUUUUUCACAAGGAGCUCUGGCCUGGCCAACAAGAAUCACCUUUGGUGCUUCAGUGUAGUGUUACUAUCACCUGUUUGAAAUGCAGCCAGGUAACAUGUACCAUUAUAUUUGCUUUCAGUAUCACAGUCUAUCUUCUAACAAGAAACCUAGGCCUCUGGCUGGGUGUGGUGGCUCACGCCUGUAACCCAGCACUUUGAGAGGCUGAGGUGGGUGGAUCACUUGAGGUCAGGAGUUCCAGACCACCCUGGCCAACAUGGUGAAACUCCAUCUCUACUAAAAAUAUUAAAAUUAGCUGGGCAUGGUGGCAUGUGCCUCUAAUCCCAGGUACUAGGGAGGCUGAAGCAGGAAAAUCGCUUAAACCCGGGAGGUGGAGGUUGCAGCGAGCCGAGAUGAUGCCACUGCACUCCAGCCUGGGCAACAAGAGUGAAACUCCAUCUCAAAAAAAAAAAAAAAAAAAGGAUUUUUUUUUUGUUUUUUUCUGUGCUGGGUUUACUUAGCAUGAUACCUUUCAGAUUCAUGAAUGUUGUUGCAAAUAACAAGACUUUAUUUUUAAGGGCUGAAUAGCAUUUCAUUGUGUACAUGCACCACAUUUUCUUUCUCCAUUCACCUACUGAUGAACACUCAGGAUGAUUCCAUACCUUAGUUAUUAUCAGUAAUCCACUUCCUUCCCUUUCAUUUGUGUUUGUUUUGUUUGAGAUGGAGUCUCAUUCUGUCACCCAAGCUGGAGUGCAGUGGCGCAGUCUUGGCUAACAGCAACCUCCGCCUCCCAGGUUCAAGUGAUUCUCAUGUCUCAGCCUCCCGAGUAGCUGGGAUUACAGGCACGCACCACCAUGCCCAGCCAAUGGAUGAAAAAAGAUACAGAGAAGACACAUUUGCUUUUAUCCACUGCACUUCCACUCACUAUUACUCAUUGUGGAUACAGCUGAGAACAGCAGUUUUCUGGCAAGACAGCCACUUCUCAGUAAUAAACAACAAACUGAAAAAGUAUAAAUGCGUCAUAAAAAGCUAAUGGAUUGUAAGAAAAACAAGCAUAGGCAUCAGUAAUGCUUGUGGUAAAAUAUUCAUCUUGAUUUCUAUUGAGCUCCCGUAAUAUUUGAUCAAAAGCUUGCAAAUAUACAGCAGAAAAGGAGUAUUAUUCUAAAUCAGAAUAUUGUUGUGGCUAUUUUGUCAAUAUAAGUCAAUAUCCAAUAUACAGAAUGGUUAUUUUGUCAAUAUAAGUAAAAAUAUGACCUCACACUAAUAGUCUCACCUAUAGUUGUAAUCAAAUGUUAUUUUUUAUUUAAAAUUUUGUUUCAUAUAAGUAAUCCCAGCACUUUGGGAGGCCCAGGCGGGCGGAUCAUGAGGUCAAGAGAUCGAGACCAUCCUUGCCAACAUGGUGAAAGCCCAUCCCUACUAAAAAUACAAAAAUUAGCUAAGCAUGGUGGCACAUGCCUGUAGUCCCAGCUAUUUGGGAGGCUGAGGCAGGAGAAUCACUCCAUCCCGGGAGCUGAGAUCACGCCACUGCACUCCAGCCUGGGGACAGAGCAAGACUCCAUCUCAAAAAAAAAAAAAAAAAAAAAAAAAGGUCUAUAUGUUUGCAGACAGACCAGAUGUUCAAAGAAAACUAUAUAAAAGAUUUACUAAUAAUU